rnacentral:rRNA from 1 species
CCUACGGGCGGCAGCAGUGGGGAAUAUUGGACAAUGGGGGGAACCCUGAUCCAGCCAUGCCGCGUGUGUGAAGAAGGCCCUCGGGUUGUAAAGCACUUUCAGUGAGGAAGAACGCCUGGUGGUUAAUACCCAUCAGGAAAGACAUCACUCACAGAAGAAGCACCGGCUAACUCCGUGCCAGCAGCCGCGGUAAUACGGAGGGUGCGAGCGUUAGUCGGAAUUACUGGGCGUAAAGCGCGCGUAGGUGGCUUGAUAAGCCGGUUGUGAAAGCCCCGGGCUCAACCUGGGAACGGCAUCCGGAACUGUCAAGCUAGAGUGCAGGAGAGGAAGGUAGAAUUCCCGGUGUAGCGGUGAAAUGCGUAGAGAUCGGGAGGAAUACCAGUGGCGAAGGCGGCCUUCUGGACUGACACUGACACUGAGGUGCGAAAGCGUGGGUAGCAAACAGGAUUAGAUACCCCUGUAGUC